rnacentral:lncRNA from 1 species
AAGAAAAUAGAGAUAUGGAAAUUGAUAAGAAUCCUUUUCCAUCACAGGUCAAUGCCGUGAACAUGAAAGGGAAAGGAAAAGCGACUGCGAAAAGGUAGAUCCAAGAAGAAAUAGACGAGAGUCGGCUCAUAUUAGCCGACCAGGAAAACGAAAAUAAAGAAAUUAACAGAAGUUCGUUUUUAUUUCAGGUUAAUAUGGUGAAUGUUAAAGGAAAAGAGAUUUUGGACAAGGAGACCGCUGACAACGUGGC